CUCUGUUUCCCCGCCCCCACUCCCGCUCCCGCGGGACCGCUGGGAUUGGUUGGCACUCCGCCAGCGGACUGUCCAUCACCGAGUGUAAACAAGGCGCUGAUUGGCUGUUGUCCAGUCCGCACUGGGCCUCCUGAAAAAAGCAAUUACUGGCUCCGCGGUUUCAAGGCGGCCCAAGGCCGCUUGAUGAAAGGAGAUAAGCUGGGGACCGUUUCCAGGAUCCCCGCGGGCCGACCCGGGCAGCCCGGGAGCCGAGGUGCGGCGGAGAGCCCGCGGAUCAAAGGAAUCUGGAGAGAAAGGGGAAGCGGGCGGCCGGCCCCGGCCGGCCUUCCCCCCCGCAGGCCACGCCGACCUGGGGUGGGGGGCUGUGGGCCGCGGGUGGGGACUCCGGGAUUUCCCGCCUGCCUGAGUCGGGGCCUGCGCCGGCGCCGGCGCCGGCUUUGGGCGGCGCGGCCAGGAAGGGAGCUCCGGAGAGCCCGGGGCUCGCAGCAGGACUUUUCCAAGCAAAAAGUCUCCUGAGGCGGGUGGUAAAAAAAGCGUCUACAUCCAAGCUCGGAACAAAAGCCCUUUGGAAAUCCCGCGGCGGGGCCGGGCGCGGGCGGAUGCGGCGGGAGGGGCGGCCGAGCGCGCCCAGGACCCGCGUCGGGAGAAGCUGCGCAGCGCCCACCGCGGGGGUCAAGUCCCGGCGGCCCCACCUGCUCCGGAGUCGGGCCUGUCCCUCCGUCUGGGGAGGCGGCCGGAGGCGCCAUCACCGCAAAUUUAUGGCCCGGGUGACGUGCUUCCUACUCCCACAGUGGGGCCCAGUGACAUUAAACAGAAAAUUGACGAGAACGGA